CAGGAUGAACGCUGGCGGCGUGUCUAAGGCAUGCAAGUCGAACGAACUUUUUUGGGUAGCAAUACUUAAAAAAGUGAGUGGCAGACGGGAGUAUAACACAUUGGUAACCUACCCCGGAGAUUGGCAUAACCCACCGAAAGGUGAGCUAAUUCCAAAUACGUUCCAUAGUCGCAAGACUGUGGAAGAAAGGAGUAAUCCGUUCUGGGAGGGGCCUAUGGCUCAUCAGCUAGUUGGUAAGGUAAAAGCUUACCAAGGCUACGACGAGUAGCGGGUGUGGGAGCACGACCCGCCUCACAGGGACUGAGACACUGCCCUGACUUCUACGGAAGGCUGCAGUCAAGAAUCUUCCCCAAUGGGCGAAAGCCUGAGGGAGCGACGCCGCGUGCAGGAUGAAGUCCUUCGGGAUGUAAACUGCUUUUGUGUGGAAAUACGUACGAAGGUACCACACGAAUAAGUGCCUGCUAAACUCGUGCCAGCAGCAGCGGUAAUACGAGUGGCACAAGCGUUAUCCGGUUUUACUGGGCGUAAAGGGUCCGCAGGUGGUUCUAUAAGUUUGGUGUUAAAUUCUGGUGCUCAACAUCAGAGCCGCAUCGAAAACUGUAGAACUAGAGGCUGGAAGAGGUACAUAGAAUUGCCGGUGUAGGGGUAAAAUCCGUUAAUAUCGGCAAGAAUACCAAAGGCGAAGGCAAUGUACUGGAACAGUCCUGACACUCAUGGACGAAAGCGUGGGGAGCGAAUGGGAUUAGAUACCCCAGUAGUCCACGCCCUAAACGAUGGAUGCUAGGCAUUGGAAGUGUCGACCCUUUCAGUGCCGUAUACCCAAGCUAACGCGUUAAGCAUCCCGCCUGGGAAGUACGGCCGCAAGGCUAAAACUUAAAGGAAUUGACGGGAACCCGCACAAGCGGUGGAGCAUGUGGUUUAAUUCGACGAUAAGCGAGGAACCUUACCAGGGUUUGACAUCCCGCGAAGUCUUGAGAAAUCGAGAUGUGCCUGCAAAGGAACGCGGUGACAGGUGCUGCAUGGUUGUCGUCAGCUCGUGUCGUGAGAUGUUGAGUUAAGUCUUUUAACGAGCGCAACCCUCAUCUUGUGUUGCUUUUCACAAGAAACUGCCUCGGAUAACGAGGAGGAAGGUGAGGAUGACGUCAAAUCAGCAUGGCCCUUACACCCUGGGCUACACACGUGCUACAAUGGCCGAUACAAUGAGUCGCCAAGUCGCAAGACGGAGCUAAUCUCAUCAAAGUCGGCCUCAGUUCGGAUUGGAGGCUGCAACUCGCCUCCAUGAAGCUGGAAUCGCUAGUAACCGCGCAUCAGCCAUGGUGCGGUGAAUACGUUCUCGGGUUUUGUACACACCGCCCGUCACGCCAAGAGAGUCGGUAACACCUGAAGAGGCUCGUUCGAGUACCUAAGGUGGGAUCGAUGAUAGGGGCGAAGUCGUAACAAGGCA
rnacentral:rRNA from 1 species